GACCUUGUGGUGCAAUGGUGGAGAGUCUGACUCCAGGUCAGAAGGCUAAGGGUUCAAAUCACAUCAUGGUCA
rnacentral:tRNA from 1 species